rnacentral:misc_RNA from 1 species
GAUGAAGAACGUAGCGAAAUGCGAUACUUGGUGUGAAUUGCAGAAUCCCGUGAACCAUCGAGUCUUUGAACGCAAGUUGCGCCCGAAGCCAUUAGGCCGAGGGCACGCCUGCCUGGGCGUCACACGUCGUUGCCCCCCCAUCUACUCCUUCGGGAUUGCGGGGGGCGGAUGAUGGCCUCCCGUGCGCCUCGUCGCGCGGUUGGCCUAAAUGCCAAGUCCUCGGCGACGCACGCCACGACAAUCGGUGGUUGCGAAACCUCGGUUGCCCGUCGUGUGCGGUCGUCGCGCAUCGAGGGCUCGAAAAAAUUGCCGGGCUUCGGCUCGACUUUCAACGCGACCCCAGGUCAGGCGGGGUUACCCGCUGAAUUAAAGCAUAUCAAUAAGCGGAGGA